GAUGGAACGCUGGCGGCGUGCCUAAUACAUGCAAGUCGAACGCACAGCGAAAGGUGCUUGCACCUUUCAAGUGAGUGGCGAACGGGUGAGUAACACGUGGACAACCUGCCUCAAGGCUGGGGAUAACAUUUGGAAACAGAUGCUAAUACCGAAUAAAACUCAGUGUCGCAUGACACAAAGUUAAAAGGCGCUUUGGCGUCACCUAGAGAUGGAUCCGCGGUG
rnacentral:rRNA from 1 species